CCUGCCAGUGGCUUAAAGCGUAACGGCCGCGGUAUCUUGACCGUGCGAAGGUAGCAUAAUCACUUGUCUUUUAAAUGGAGACUUGUGUGAACGGCGAAACCUUUUUCAACUGUCUCUCCUCCCACCCUUCAAAAUUUCUUUUCGUGUGAAGAAGCACAGAUAUACCAGAAAGACAAGAAGACACUGUCGAGAUUUAACCAUUAAGUGAGCACUCCUAUUUACUUAGAUAUCACCUCAAGGUUUUGGUUGGGGCGACCGUGGCAGAAAAAAAAUCCUCCCGAAUAAAUAGAACAAAACCCUUCUCUAAUUAUCAACACGUAAAGAACCACGAAGUGGUAUUCAGAAAAAAUUACCGCAGGGAUAACAGCGUUGUCUCCUCUGAGAGUCCUUAUUGACGAGGAGGCUUGCGACCUCGUCGUUGGAUUAUGGCCCCCUUAGGGUGCAGAAGCUCUAAACGGUUAGACUGUUCGUCUAUUAUAGCCCUACUUGAUC
rnacentral:rRNA from 1 species